rnacentral:rRNA from 1 species
AUUGCCUCAGUAACGGCGAGUGAAGCGGCAACAGCUCAAAUUUGAAAUCUGGCCCUUUCAGGGUCCGAGUUGUAAUUUGCAGAGGGUGCUUUGGUGUCGGCCGUGGUCUAAGUUCCUUGGAACAGGACGUCACAGAGGGUGAGAAUCCCGUACGUGGCCGCCGGUCGUCACCGUGUAAAGCCCCUUCGACGAGUCGAGUUGUUUGGGAAUGCAGCUCUAAAUGGGAGAUACAUUUCUUCUAAAGCUAAAUAUUGGCCAGAGACCGAUAGCGCACAAGUAGAGUGAUCGAAAGAUGAAAAGCACUUUGGAAAGAGAGUCAAAAAGCACGUGAAAUUGUUGAAAGGGAAGCGCUUGCAGCCAGACGUGCCCGCAGUUGCUCACCCAGGCUCUCGCCUGGGGCAUUCUUCUGCGGGCAGGCCAGCAUCAGUUCGGGCGGUUGGAUAAAGGCCUCUAUCACGUACCACCUUUCGGGGUGUCCUUAUAGGGGAGGCGCAACACGACCAGCCCGAACUGAGGACCGCGCAUCAAGCUAGGAUGCUGGCGUAAUGGCUGUAAGCGGCCCGUCUUGAAACACGGACCAAGGAGUCUAACAUCUAUGCGAGUGUUUGGGUGUCAAGCCCGGGCGCGCAAUGAAAGUGAACGGAGGUGGGAACCCCUCGGGGUGCACCAUCGACCGAUCCUGAAGUCUUCGGAUGGAUUUGAGUAAGAGCAUAGCUGUUGGGACCCGAAAGAUGGUGAACUAUGCCUGAAUAGGGUGAAGCCAGGGGAAACCCUGGUGGAGGCUCGCAGCGGUUCUGACGUGCAAAUCG